GUAAUGCACCAUAACGUUGGAUGCCAACCAGCGAUAAACCUCACCGAAGAAGAAGAAGAAGAAGAAGGGCGAAGCAACGCUAAGGUAGGCCAUGGCUCGCGGUCAACAGAAGAUUCAAUCCCAGCAAAAGAACGCCAAGGCGGCAGCUGCUAAGAAGAAGGGAGCGGCAGCAGACCAGAAGACUGCAGCCAAGGCAGCGCUGGUCCACACCUGUCCUGUCUGUCGGACGCAGAUGCCGGACCCGAAGACGUUCAAGCAGCACUUUGAGAGCAAGCAUCCCAAGUCCCCAAUGCCCCCAGAGCUGGAUGAUGUUGAGGCUUAAAAGACCAACACACACAAUGGACCUACAGCUGGGUUAAGAUGCUCUCAUCAUUCAGACUCCCAGUAUACAUACACACGAUGACCACGAUUAGAGCGCUGCGACUGGAACUUAAUGGCGUCAAGAGACAAAACACUGAGACCCCUGGACAUGGGUGGGGGAAUAUUUGUGACAAUGACCUAAAAAGGGGGGCAGAAGCACACCAGCACCCCAUCUUAUAUGUCCAACCACCCCUCAACUUCAGACUCUGUGGAAGCACCCAUCUUAAUUAUAUCAGCCCACUCUACCUACAUCUCUUUUCCCUAUGCUGCUUCCUUCAUUAAUACCUGAUUCAAUAACAUCUAGACUGUUACACAUCUAAAAGUGUAACGGUGUUACUGUUUUUGCAACUUUUUCUCAGUUGUGUACCGCUGUCUUACUUUUACGCCCAACUCUUUUCUAUACCUCCUCCUAUACACUUGUGCAAAUCAUUUCUGCUUUCUUUGAGAAUGGUGUCAUAGUGGAAAGGAUUUGUUAAUUGCCCAAGACUGAGCCUUGUUCUGCCUGUAAAAGGCCCUGGUCGAAACAGUGCCAAAAUCACUUUUGAUAGUCGCCGGGUCCACGUUGUAACAAUUGUAUUUUGCAUUUGACCGUUUCCAAGAAAUGUAGCAAUAUAUAUGAAAGCAUUCCUCUGCCUAUUUGAUCCAUUCUGAAGUAAAGCAGUGAAUACGUUUUGUCUGUGUGUGAGAAUAUGUAUGCCUUCUAAUGCUGGCAGAAAAUGUGUUACUUCCAAAUGCAAGUUAAACGCCAUUCCGUCUAUACUGAUACCAGAUUAAUGCAUACUUAUAAGUAUUUAAUGUAUUUCCAAUAUACUGGAAUGCUAUGUAGCUGAAGAGGGGUGACACUGUCUAGGAUAGGAGUGUCAAUCAGUUUCUGGAGGUCUGUGUUCACUGGCAUUUCCUCUCACUUCUGCAUCAAAUCAACCUCUGCAAUAUAUAUUCUAGUUCUUUUAUUACAAAUAUAGCAGUACACAGUCCUCCAUAAAUAUGUUGACAAUGACAAAUUCCUGUGUAUUGGAUCCUCUGUACAUAGAAAAACGACAAAAAUAUGACAUUUACCAUUGCUACUAACUUGUACUGGUUAAAAGUAUAAUUAAAGAAAUGCAUAAAAAGUA